rnacentral:rRNA from 1 species
UGGUGGAGCGAUUUGUCUGGUUAAUUCCGUUAACGAACGAGACCUCUACCUGCUAAAUAGUUCGGGAAACUCUCGGGUUUCCUCGUGACUUCUUAGAGGGACUAUCUGUGUGUAGCGGAUGGAAGUGGGAGGCAAUAACA